CCUACGGGGGGCAGCAGUAGGGAAUCUUCCGCAAUGGACGCAAGUCUGACGGAGCAACGCCGCGUGAGUGAAGAAGGAUUUCGGUUCGUAAAACUCUGUUGUUAGAGAAGAACAGCGCAUAGAGUAACUGUUAUGCGUGUGACGGUAUCUAACCAGAAAGCCACGGCUAACUACGUGCCAGCAGCCGCGGUAAUACGUAGGUGGCAAGCGUUGUCCGGAUUUAUUGGGCGUAAAGCGAGCGCAGGCGGUCAAUUAAGUCUGAUGUGAAAGCCCCCGGCUCAACCGGGGAGGGUCAUUGGAAACUGGUUGACUUGAGUGCAGAAGAGGAGAGUGGAAUUCCAUGUGUAGCGGUGAAAUGCGUAGAUAUAUGGAGGAACACCAGUGGCGAAGGCGACUCUCUGGUCUGUAACUGACGCUGAGGCUCGAAAGCGUGGGUAGCAAACAGGAUUAGAUAUCCUUGUAGUC
rnacentral:rRNA from 1 species